rnacentral:rRNA from 1 species
GACAGAGGGUGCAAACGUUGUUCGGAAUUACUGGGCGUAAAGCGUGUGUAGGCGGCCGAGUAAGUCGGGUGUGAAAGCCCCAGGCUUAACCUGGGAAGUGCACUCGAAACUGCCCGGCUCGAGUAUCGGAGAGGUUGGUGGAAUUCUCGGUGUAGAGGUGAAAUUCGUAGAUAUCGAGAGGAACACCGGUGGCGAAGGCGGCCAACUGGACGAAUACUGACGCUGAGACACGAAAGCGUGGGGAGCAAACAGG